GAGUUUGAUUCUGGCUCAGAUUGAACGCUGGCGGCAUGCUUUCACAUGCAAGUCGAACGGCAGCAUGGGUGCUUGCACCUGAUGGCGAGUGGCGAACGGGUAGUAAUAUAUCGGAACAUGUCCGGAAGUGGGGGAUAACGUAGCGAAAGUUACGCUAAUACGCAUAUGCCCUGAGGGGGAAAGGAGGGGAUCGUAAGACCUUUCGCUUUCGGAGUGGCCAUAUCAGAUUAGCUAGUUGGUGAGGUAAAGGCUCACCAAGGCAACGAUCUGUAGCGGGUUGAGAGGAUGAUCCGCCACACUGGGACUGAGACACGGCCCAGACUCCUACGGGAGGCAGAGUGGGGAAUUUUGGACAAUGGGCGCAAGCCUGAUCCAGCCAUGCCGCGUGAGUGAAGAGGCCUUCGGGUUGUAAAGCUCUUUCAGCUGGAAAAAAAUCGUACUUAUUAAUACUAAGUUGGAUGAUGGUACCAGCAGAAGAAGCACCGGCUAACUACGUGCCAGCAGCCGCGGUAAU
rnacentral:rRNA from 1 species